rnacentral:tRNA from 1 species
GGAGGAGUCGGAUAAUGGUUUUCCACCAGUCUUGAAAACUGGCGCUCUAAAAGGCAUGCGGGUUCGAAUCCCGCCUCCUCCG